GGAUUGGCUCUCGCGGACGCUGACGGACAGGGCAGGGGAGGGCCAAAGCCCGGUCUGACGGGCGCGCGCGGGGGCGCGAAAGCACGAGAGCGCGGCUGCGCGUGCGCGAGCGGCGGGGCUUUCUCCCGAGCCGUCGGAGGGAGCCGGAGCGCUUCUCCAGAGUUGGUGAUCGAUUGGUCGUAAUCCAACAUGCAGAAGUGAGUGAGUGGUGAAAAGCAGCAGAGCUGAUGGGUUGUGAGGAUGUAAGUGCGUUUGAAGGCUCUCACACCCUCUACUCCAGGAUCUAGACUGACAAGGAACCAGCUAUGAAAAAGGCAGCAGAUUUCUAGAACAUUCUUCCCUGUUAAGUAGUUGGCAUACGCAGAGUGCUGUGAAACAUCUCCAUUGCUUCCUGAACUCCAGGGUCUAGAACUCCAGAUGAUAGUAUCCUCUGCCUCUUUCACCCAGGUGAGAAUCUGAAAGAUUAGAAUGAAGUCCCACCUGAGGUGGGGAGCUGGAACGGUCCCUGAUCAAAGCCUGAGCACACUGCCUUCUUGGUAGGGGGAGUAGAAUCCUGCACCUGGCCAGGAGAACGCAGGGAUGCUGGUUCCUUAGGCUGUAGUACACUUUCAGGGUCUCAAAGAAGCUCCUCUGUCUGUGAAGGGGCUUGAAGAAGCAUCUUGUUUUACAUCUGAUGAAAAUGGAGGGAGCACUUCUUUUGACAGGAAACUUCACUUCUUGUUACUGAAAACCGUCACAACAGUCAUUAUGUCUGGCUUCCAGAGAUUUCCUGGAGUUAGGAGAACAAUAGAUAGUUAAAAUGGCAAUAUUGAGAGCAUUCGGUGGUUUUAUAAUGAGUACCUAGGGAAAUUUUUUCUCUUGAGUUUGUAAGAAUAAAGUAGGAAUAUUUGGGAGGUUGGGAAAAAUGUAGAAAUGAACUUUAAUGCUUUAUUUUUAAAAAUGUUCUUUCUAACCUUUGGAAGUAAAAAAUUAAUUUUAUACCAUGGUUCCCAUUAUCUUGUUACUGAGUUGACGAUGACUAAGGGAAACUUCCUUUCUUCUGUGCCUAUCUGCAUUGUAAGUAAUCCCCCAAAAAGAUACAUUUAUAUCUUUGUGUCUUUUUUGAUUAAAUGUCAUUCAGAAUUCUUGAAUCUGUUUAUUGCUUCUUAACUUUUAUAUUCGUACAGGGCUUCUGAGGCUUAUGAUUUUGACUUUAGCAGCAGGAGUUAUUUCUCUUCUUUCACCUCCAAAAACAAAAAACACUCAAGCGUUAGAAAGA
rnacentral:lncRNA from 1 species